rnacentral:tRNA from 1 species
GCUCCAGUGGUGCAAUAGGUUAGCAUGUGGUACUUAUACAGCAGUAUUUGCAAAGCAAUGCCAAGGUGGUUGUGAGUUCAAGCCUCACCCAGAGCA